rnacentral:rRNA from 1 species
UGGGAAUCUUGACGAAUGGGCGAAAGCUGACGCAGCAACGCGCGUGCGGGAUGAAGGCUUCGGGCUUGUAAAGCCUUUCAGCAGGGAAGAAAUUGACGGUACCUGCAGAAGAAGCCCCGGCCAACUACGUGCCAGCAGCCGCGGUAACACGUAGGGGGCGAGCGUUGUCCGGAUUUAUUGGGCGUAAAGAGCUCGUAGGCGGUUCGGUAAGUCGGGUGUGAAACCUCCAGGCUCAACCUGGAGACGCCACCUGAUACUGCUGUGACUAGAGUCCGGUAGGGGAGUGUGGAACUCCUGGUGUAGCGGUGAAAUGCGCAGAUAUCAGGAAGAACACCAGCGGCGAAGGCGGCACUCUGGGCCGGUACUGACGCUGAGGAGCGAAAGCKCGGGUAGCAAACAGGAUUAGAUACCCUGGUAGUCCACGCCGUAAACGUUGGGCACUAGGUGUGGGUCUCAACCAACGAGAUCCGUGCCGCAGCUAACGCAUUAAGUGCCCCGCCUGGGGAGUACGGCCGCAAGSUA